rnacentral:tRNA from 1 species
AAUAAGGUGCCUGAACAAAAAGGAUUAUUUUGAUAGAAUAAAUUAUGUAAUAUUAUACUCUUAUUA